rnacentral:rRNA from 1 species
CGAGUGAAGCGGCAACAGCUCAAAUUUGAAAUCUGGAGUCUUUCGGCUUCCGAGUUGUAAUUUGAAGAGGAUGUUUCGGUGCGACCUGGGCCUAAGUUCCUUGGAACAGGACGUCAUGGAGGGUGAGAAUCCCGUACAUGGCUGCAGGUUUGCUUCUAUGUGAAACUCCUUCGAAGAGUCGAGUUGUUUGGGAAUGCAGCUCAAAAUGGGUGGUAAAUUUCAUCUAAAGCUAAAUAUUGGCGGGAGACCGAUAGCGCACAAGUAGAGUGAUCGAAAGAUGAAAAGCACUUUGAAAAGAGAGUUAAACAGUACGUGAAAUUGUUGAAAGGGAAGCGCUUGCAAUCAGACUCGCCUUCAGCUGAUCAACCUUCCUUCUGGUUGGUGCACUCUGCUGUUGGCGGGCCAGCAUCAGUUGGGGCGGCGGGAUAAAGGCGGCAGGAAUGUGGCUCGUUUCGGCGAGUGUUAUAGCCUGCUGCGUCAUGCCGCCAGCCCCGACUGAGGUCCGCGGUUCGCCUAGGAUGCUGGCUUAAUGGUUGU